UGGGGAGGGGCGGGUGCUAUACAUGCAAGUCGAGCGAACUGAUUAGAAGCUUGCUUCUAUGACGUUAGCGGCGGACGGGUGAGUAACACGUGGGCAACCUGCCUGUAAGACUGGGAUAACUUCGGGAAACCGAAGCUAAUACCGGAUAGGAUCUUCUCCUUCAUGGGAGAUGAUUGAAAGAUGGUUUCGGCUAUCACUUACAGAUGGGCCCGCGGUGCAUUAGCUAGUUGGUGAGGUAACGGCUCACCAAGGCAACGAUGCAUAGCCGACCUGAGAGGGUGAUCGGCCACACUGGGACUGAGACACGGCCCAGACUCCUACGGGAGGCAGCAGUAGGGAAUCUUCCGCAAUGGACGAAAGUCUGACGGAGCAACGCCGCGUGAGUGAUGAAGGCUUUCGGGUCGUAAAACUCUGUUGUUAGGGAAGAACAAGUACGAGAGUAACUGCUUGUACCUUGACGGUACCUAACCAGAAAGCCACGGCUAACUACGUGCCAGCAGCCGCGGUAAUACGUAGGUGGCAAGCGUUAUCCGGAAUUAUUGGGCGUAAAGCGCGCGCAGGCGGUUUCUUAAGUCUGAUGUGAAAGCCCACGGCUCAACCGUGGAGGGUCAUUGGAAACUGGGGAACUUGAGUGCAGAAGAGAAAAGCGGAAUUCCACGUGUAGCGGUGAAAUGCGUAGAGAUGUGGAGGAACACCAGUGGCGAAGGCGGCUUUUUGGUCUGUAACUGACGCUGAGGCGCGAAAGCGUGGGGAGCAAACAGGAUUAGAUACCCUGGUAGUCCACGCCGUAAACGAUGAGUGCUAAGUGUUAGAGGGUUUCCGCCCUUUAGUGCUGCAGCUAACGCAUUAAGCACUCCGCCUGGGAGUACGGUCGCAAGACUGAAACUCAAAUGAAUUGACGGGGGCCCGCACAAGCGUGGAGCAUGUGGUUUAAUUCGAAGCAACGCGAAGACUUACCAGGUCUUGACAUCUCUGACACUCUAAGAGAUAGAGCGUUUCCCCUUCGGGGACAGAUGAACAGGUGGUGCAUCCGGUCGUCAGCUCGUGUCGUGAAAUGUUGGUUAAGUCCCGCCACCGAGCGCAACUCGUGA
rnacentral:rRNA from 2 species